UACGUAGGGGGCAAGCGUUGUCCGGAAUCAUUGGGCGUAAAGCGCGUGUAGGCGGCUUGAUAAGUCUGCUCUGAAAGCCCGGGGCUCAACCCCGGGAGGCGGGUGGAUACUGUCAAGCUCGAGUCCGGAAGAGGAGUGUGGAAUUCCUGGUGUAGCGGUGAAAUGCGUAGAGAUCCGGAAGAACACCGGUGGCGAAGGCGGCCUGCUGGGCUAUGGCUGACACUGAGGCGCGACAGCGUGGGGAGCAAACAGG
rnacentral:rRNA from 1 species